AUUGAACGCUGGCGGCAUGCCUUACACAUGCAAGUCGAACGGUAACAGGUCUUCGGAUGCUGACGAGUGGCGAACGGGUGAGUAAUACAUCGGAACGUGCCUAGUAGUGGGGGAUAACUACUCGAAAGAGUGGCUAAUACCGCAUGAGAUCUACGGAUGAAAGCAGGGGAUCGCAAGGCCUUGUGCUACUAGAGCGGCCGAUGGCAGAUUAGGUAGUUGGUGGGAUAAAAGCUUCCCAAGCCGACGAUCUGUAGCUGGGCUGAGAGGACGAUCAGCCACACUGGGACAGAGAAACGGCCCAGAAUCCUACGGGAGGCAGCAGUGGGGAAUUUUGGACAAUGGGCGCGAGCCUGAUCCAGCAAUGCCGCGUGCAGGAUGAAGGCCUUCGGGUUGUAAACUGCUUUUGUACGGAACGAAAAGCCCCGGGUUAAUACCCUGGGGUCAUGACGGUGCCGUAAGAAUAGGCACCGGCUAACUACGUGCCAGCAGCCGCCGUAA
rnacentral:rRNA from 1 species